AUAUAGGCAGAGAUUCAGCAAGUCACCAACAGCUAUUGAAGAAGCAAUACAACAAUCGAUUAUUGAUAGUAUCGCAAACGAAGAGAAUAUUGACAACUUGAAUCGACGCAUUUUGCAAGCAAGACUAACUGUUCGCAGCAGAGUCAAGGGAGAAGGGAACUACUUUUUUUAGAGCUAUCUCGGAUCAGCUAGACCGACUAUCACUAGAUCCCAAGUCCCACUAUCAAGUUAGGCAAAUGGUCUUGAACUAUCUCAGAUCUAAUCCAUUCACGAUGUCAGGAGAACAUCUAGGAAACUUCACAUGUGACGAUGCGUGGCCAGAGUAUUUGCUGGAACUAAGCAGAAAAGGAACGUAGGCGGACGAAGUUGCUGUCAGGGCGACGGCAUUGGGUUUUGAUCGCUCUUUCUACAUCAUUUCGUCAGUGAAAGAUGACAACAGUGACAAAAACAUUGAAGCUCUUACUGAGGCAGGAAACAGACUGCCACCGUUUCUACUAGGGAAUCUUGCUGAACGCCACUAUUGGAGUCUUGACGUGAAUAUUUCGUUGCAGCACAGUAAAGAAACCAGCUGUUCUUGUUUAGAUUACGAACUCUCUGAGUCUGAACAUGCCAUUGUCGCAAGAACGUGAAUACGAGUGGUGAUCUAGUUUUACGUAUCUGUCAGUAUCGUCUCUUAUUGAUCGAUUUCGUAGUUUAAUGACCAGGUCGUCAGCGCAGCACACAAAAUAUUUGAGGAAGAGAUCAACUCUAAGCAUGACAAAAGAGUCAUUGUUGUGAGCUCUUUCGUUAUUCCGUGCUACAAAAACCGAGGUUAUGAAGGUGUUCAAAGAGCUUGCCAGCAUGCAAAUGUUUUCGAGUACGAGAUGAUUGCGAUUCCAGUGCAUCUUGACAAUCAUUGGAUUUCAGUGGUGUUUACAGAGUUACACUUUGUCAUGUCCCGGAUAAUAAACACGGAACUCCUGACUCACACAAACGUGAGGCUUCAAGCUUCGAUUUUCAGCAGAAUAAUGAAUAAUCAAGUACGAAGCAACCUGCUUUAGCAAGUGAGAAGCUGGUUUAGACAACGGCAGUGCAGGUUGUCAUGACAACUAGGUGACGACUAGAGACGCCUCCUUUCUCUAUGGAAGGACACUUCGUUUGACUCUAGACGAACAAACAGCUUAUUCUAGUCCUAGACUAGCGAUUUAGCUAAUAAAAUUUAGAUCGGA